AGGUGCGACCAUACCAGCUCUAAUGCACCGAAUCUCAUCAGAACUCCGCAGUGAUGUGUACUUGGGCGAGAGUAGUACUAGGAUGGGUGACAUCCUGGGAAGUCCCCGUGUUGCAACUC
rnacentral:rRNA from 1 species